GAGCGAGAUGAGCUGCAGCUAAAUAGCUGUGAAGUGCUCCUUUGUGUGGACCUAUCUCCGGAUGAUGGCCAUCUCAGAGGGUACUCAAUGACUCUUGCUCAAGGCCCAUCCUUGCAGGAGAACAAGGAGGAUAAAAGAGGAACUGAAAACCAUGAGGAUAGGGUUUCUGACAGUUCAGAUUCCUCACGAAGAACGGAGGUUUCUGACAACAGAUUCCUCAUGAAGAACGGAAGGUUUUCUGACAACAGACUUCUCAUGAAGAAGAAUGGAGGUUCCUGACAACAGAUUCCUCAUGAAGAACGGAGGUUCCUGACAACAGAUUCCUCAUGAAGAACGGAGGAUUUCUGGCAGCAGAUUCCUCCUGAAGAAGAAGACGGAUUCCUGAAGAUUGAGGUGAUUCCUGCAUACUGUCGAACUCUCCUGAGCCUGCUGCCUGACCGCUGUUGCUGCUUCAAGAAUUGGCUCCUCAACUUCCUCAUCUACCU